UGAGAAGUCGUCGGGUGCACAUCGCGAGUCAACCGCGGACGGAGUUACUUCUGCGUAAGAACAAAUUGCAACCUCACAUAGCCACGCCAUAUUGAAGCCACCGUCCUUGUUGCAGAAGAGCCGUCGAACGAUCAAGCCAACGGACAAAGUCCCGCUGAGGCAUUAAAGAGAGAAAACCAAGAAAGGCCCUCCAGAGAGGGCUUUUUCUUUUUCCUUUCUUUUGUCCUGUUUUUGUUCUGUGGUGCGGUGUUCCGAAUUUCGGCGGCAUCGGAUUCGAACGGACUGUUCGGAAACGUGCAAGUCGGCACGGGAAGAUCUGGAGCGCCUUGAGGAUUGGUAGCUGGGAGCGGUGGCGGACUGGUGUUGCUGGACGGACGCCGCGAAGAUCGGAUGGCAGUCAAGUGAGCUAGAUUAAGUAACGUGGGGUCGCACGGAGCGCGAAAUGCCCGGCGACAAAAGUUGACAGGGAAUGAAAAGCAUAGGAGAUUAGAGCGGGACGGGAUGAAGAAGGAAGGAAAAUACACAGAAGUUGUUUGAGUAGAUUUGUGGCCAAUUUUCUUCAAUAAAGCAUAAAGAUAACCUACAA